CCCCAUUGUUGGGAAAGUGAGAUCACAGCCCUUUCUUUUUGUACACUCAGACAGCAAAGCUCCACAAAAAUCUCACCACUGACGCGUCAUAUAUCAUUCAAAAUGCUCUUCUCACAGAGAGUUUAUGCUACAGUGCUGAUUUUACAACCUGCAAAUACCUCAUUCAUUAACAAAUUCUGAGAUGUAACACCAGAGCAAAGAAUGCUGAUGAACCAUCGAGGACCUCGCUGGUACAUUGUCAGACAUACCAAAGCUACCCAAAGGCAGAACAAAGCCGUGUCUCCCUGGAAAGAAAACCAGCAGAUGUCACCUAUGAUGGAUUUAUGAGGACGACAGGCAAACUGUUUCACGCAGCCUUUUAAUAAUGGGGCGACAGAGGAAUGCAGCACUGACUCACUGAGCUGCCAGCUGAUCUGGUUCUGCAGCCGCUGUCACAAUGGCCUCCCUAUUCCUGCUCCCUGUGCAUGAGACAGCUGAAAAAUGAGAAGAAACAGAGUGAGAGAGAGGAGAGAUAACAUGCAGAACGCUCGGCCACUGUACAGCCACUGGCUGAUCCAAUUUCAGGACAUCUUACAUCUACUAUCUAAUGUAUCACGAUGGGAGGUUAAUGAGAACAUGAGCUGAAUAAGUGAUGCAGAUGAAACUGGCAGCAUGUCCUUUGUUUCACUCCAUAAGGUACAGUUGGGGACCAACGCCCUCAUGAGAGAAAGAAACCAGCUGAGCAGAACAGACUGCCUAACUGUCAUCACACCUCAACAGACCAGGCGCACGGUGAAACCACCACCAGGUCACCAAUACCUGGUCACCACCUGCCUGUGAAACCACGGCAGGGGACACUGUUCAUUAGUUUGUCUGCUGAAUGUGUCUCUAGAGUCUAUCUGACAUCCAGGUGGUCCUGUCACAUAAACACUGUGUGUUUUUACUCUAUUUAAAGCAAUUAUUCCAAUUUAAUGCAAUGAAAUGCAACCCGCCCUCAAAACUUCCAUUUAAUUGGAUAAUUCAAAGACAGAGAGCAGUCACAUAAUCAUCCCCAUUUACCACUUUAUCAGUGAAAUGA